rnacentral:rRNA from 1 species
CUUCAAGUCAUCAUGGCCCUUACGGCCAGGGCUACACACGUACUACAAUGGUAGGGACAGAGGGCUGCAAGCCGGCGACGGUAAGCCAAUCCCAGAAACCCUAUCUCAGUCCGGAUUGGAGUCUGCAACUCGACUCCAUGAAGUCGGAAUCGCUAGUAAUCGCAGAUCAGCAUUGCUGCGGUGAAUACGUUCCCGGGCCUUGUACACACCGCCCGUCACACCAUGGGAGUUUGUUGCACCAGAAGCAGGUAGCUUAACCUUCGGGAGGGCGCUUGCCACGGUGUGGCCGAUGACUGGGGUGAAGUCGUAACAAGGUAGCCGUAUCGGAAGGUGCGGUUGGAUCACACCNA